rnacentral:rRNA from 1 species
CUAGUUGGGGGGGUAAUGGCCCACCAAGGCGACGACGGGUAGCUGGUCUGAGAGGAUGGCCAGCCACAUUGGGACUGAGAGACGGCCCAGACUCCUACGGGAGGCAGCAGUGGGGAAUCUUGCGCAAUGGCCGAAAGGCUGACGCAGCGACGCCGCGUGGGGGAGGAAGGCCUUCGGGUUGUAAACCCCUGUUGCCCGGGACGAAUGUGCACUUUUGAGUGCAUUGACGGUACCGGGUGAGGAAGCACCGGCUAACUCCGUGCCAGCAGCCGCGGUAAUACGGAGGGUGCAAGCGUUGUCCGGAAUCACUGGGCGUAAAGGGCGCGUAGGCGGCUCAUGAAGGCUGUGGUGAAAGUCCGGGGCUCAACCUCGGAUCGGCCGUGGCGACUCGUGGGCUGGAGCACUGUAGAGGCGGGUGGAAUUCCGGGUGUAGCGGUGGAAUGCGUAGAGAUCCGGAAGAACACCAGUGGCGAAGGCGGCCCGCUGGGCAGUGGCUGACGCUGAGGCGCGACAGCGUGGGGAGCAAACAGGAUUAGAUACCCUGGUAGUCCACGCCGUAAACGAUGGGCACUAGGUGCUUGGGGGAGCGACCCUCUGAGUGCCGGCGCUAACGCAUUAAGUGCCCCGCCUGGGGAGUACGGCCGCAAGGCUGAAACUCAAAGGAAUUGACG